rnacentral:rRNA from 1 species
UACGUAGGGGGCAAGCGUUGUCCGGAUUUAUUGGGCGUAAAGAGCGUGUAGGCGGCCUGAAAGGUCAGCUGUGAAAACUCGAGGCUCAACCUCGAGACGUCGGUUGAAACCAUCUGGCUAGAGUCCGGAAGAGGAGUGUGGAAUUCCCGGUGUAGCGGUGAAAUGCGCAGAUAUCAGGAGGAACACCAAUGGCGAAGGCAGCUCGCUGGGACGGUACUGACGCUGAGACGCGAAAGCUAGGGGAGCAAACGGG